AUUAGUUACGCAUCUAAACAACACAUAUAGUUUGCAGGGUGGAUAAAACUGGCAUUAUAUGUAACAAGACGGUAGAACAUAUAAUGCUAGUUUGUUCCACCCUGCAAACUAUAUGUGUUGCUUAGAUGCGUAACUUGG